AGCCCGGGACAGUGCCGCCACCGGCGUGCAUGCUGCAGGAGGAGCAGCCUCCAUCAGCACGCGCAGCGCGCCGGCUUAGCGUCUCCCGCCGCUAAAGAAUGUCUCGCGUCGACGGCUUGUUUACCACCGCCGGGCUCGACGGCAAGCCAACCAGUGCGCGAAAUCACUGCCGCGGCGGCGUCGAGACGGGAACAUCUGCGGACGCGCCUUCCAGACGUCGACUACGAAGCGGUCCUUAGCGAUCGAGAUCGCCGGGAAAACGAGAGGAGAGAGGCGAGAGCUCCGGGGUUUUUGUUCCCCGGCGGCUCCCGGAUUCAAAGAUGGCGCUGCGGCUGGCUUGUUUUGCAUCGGGCCCGCGGCUCGCGCGGCGAAGGCUUCACGGACGGCUCGGAAACGCGCGCUUCGGCGCAGCGUCGGCGGCGCCAACCCCGGCGCCGUUCGAAAAUCGGUGGCCUCCCGUCGUCGCAUCGCCGCGCAGCCGGAUGUCGAUGCCUGAGUUCGUGUACCAGGACAGGAAUAUACGACUUCAAGGACGAAGCACAAGACGGAAACAGGGAUCAGGAUAGAACGCCAACGAAUCGACUCCGAGCACCGAACGAAUGCCUAUACGAACGCUGACAUCGCCGAAGUUGCAGCACAGGAAAAUGCUUCGGAAAAGGCAUGCAUUGCCUGAAAGAAAGUCACCUUCGCCACCGGAGAAAGCGAAUGCGGGUCUUCAAAAUGCCGACCAUCUGUGAAGGACGCCUUAGGUCUCAGUAUUGACGUAUCAACAUAUGACAAAACAAAACGAUCACUGAUUAGUCAAAUAUUCAUCUAGUCAUAGACACAUGGAGAGUUCGAAGGAACCUAACUCUCGACAAGAAGAAGUUCCAUGAUGUCUAAUUCUUGUCUGCCCUGUUCAUUCUUUUGGCAAAGCUCUUCAGGACGGUUUAUUAUACGCCGGUGGGGCUAAAUCUUAGCGAUUCAAUUAAGGUUGCUGCCAUUAACACUGCUUGCCAUUUUUAGCUUCCACGGCCAAAUCAGUGCACUUCGGGCACUGAUGUGUGCACGUUAAAGUGUCCUAUCAUGUGGGCCCAAGCCGUACUAGCGUGAAUAGUGUACUGCUUGAAGUCAAUGGAGCAUGACAUCUCACGCAACGUCCUUGGUUUCUGUCACUAAAUUCAUUUGGUGGGUGGUCGUGGCCCUAACAUUUACGAUAAGAGUUGAGUAGGUACUCUUACUAUGUAGGUAGCCAUGACGAUGUGACGCUUGAUUGAAGCAAUCUGAGCUACGAACUGCUAUCCUAUUAUAUGUAGGGUACGGCUAUUUCAGGUGACAGUAAAAAUUUUCAGAACCCAUCGGAAAGACGAUAACCCCGACAGGGUUCUUCGCCUUUGGAACGCUAUUUCGCGCAUUUACAGGUGAUGAAAGACCGGUGGUUCAGCUCACAAAACAAUUUGCUAAAUUAGCGAGGAAUUUUGAUGGCUACUGAAGUUGCGGAAUAUUUAUGAUGACAGUUUUGCAGCCUGCCAAAACGUUGGCAAUUCACGUUUUGCGAAAAUAUCAAUAGCACAAUUUUUAUCCCGACAAGUAUAAGUCGUCAAACUUAAAGGAGCAUUUCGAUAGAUUUUAUAUGCAAAGUAAAACUGUUAUUUUUAGCUGUGACGGAAUUCUUUUUUAUUUCCGAUCAAGAGGUACUCAAAAAUAAUUUGACAGUACCUGUGUUACACAUGUACAGAUCGGCAAGGCAAAUGUAAUGGUGAACACGCCUGCGUGUUACCGUGUUCAUUUGUUGAGCGGCAGUAUUACUAUACUGAUUGUACCUAAGAAACCUGCAACCACUUUUUGUUCACAAGUAUAUUUCGAAUUUUUGCCUGUAUUUUUGCACGUCUGUUCAUCACACACUUUACCAUGUACAAAUCUGAGUUCUUUCAAUAUCGUUGCGAGAAUUCUUGAUAUCUUUGUUGUUUUGUAUAUAUACAUUCUACACUGCAAAUUCAACAUAAUUUCUAAUCGUGUGAGUGGGUCAAAAUUUUUGUAAAAAGUGUCGGACCAGUACGAGCCAUGUUUUGAUCGCCUGUAUUCAUUGCAAAGGCUAAAUUUUACCAGGAAUCAAGUAACCAUUGGAAUGCUUCCGACGCAUCCACAAAAACAUUGUGCUCGUGCUUCAAGGUAUUUGAGGAGAAAUGUCUUCCUCUCUGUAUAGAGAAGACUGAUCGCCAUGUUCAUAAAAAGAGCGAUUACGUAGCCUUGAUCGUGAAUUUCGCGAAGCCGUAUAGUGCGGCGUUGCAUUUGUAACAAGUCUUAGAAAAGUUGUAUGCUUCAAGACCCUUUAAGAUUUCCUUGUCAACCUCUGGUAAUGUCCUACUACAGGCCGUAUGAAGCAAUACCUUAAGAUUUCUGUCACGUACAGUCGAUGCAUUGCGCACAAAUAUUGUUGUUUAGGUACGACUGACUACCACGUCUUACAGUCUCCCACUAUUGCCGUUAUCUUGCGACCGCUUGCACCGUUAUUGUAACGUUUUUGGUGCUUGCGUGGUUGUAUGCUUCUGUUGCGAACGAACGUUCGACAGCGCAUGCUCCCAAAAGUCUCAUGGUGCACAAAUGUUGUACAGGGUGUCCCUUUCCAUUUCCAGGUGUUGCAGCCUUCAACUCGCUUCUUCUUAUAUACUGCAUGCUGCAGUUAAUCUGGGGCUUGUUUCCUCUGUGAAACGGAGACGACUGUUUGGUUCGUCAAGUGUGCAUAUGUAGUAGAGUAACAAAAACCCAUUAAUAUAUGCUCAUUGGAUACAUUUAUGAGACCAAGUCAGAGAAAUAUCACACCUAGGCUAUCACUUCUCAAUCGUACAUUUGAUAUAGUUGCAGUGAUUUCUGAACUCCACUCGCAGCGUUUAUGUUCACAUCCUAAAAAGCUUGACGACGCGGAGUUGCAGUUUGCGACUAUCUUACUAUUUUGAGUGACACAAAUGUAUAUUUCAUUAUUAGCCAACAGAAAAGAUUUGCAACUAGCGUAUUAUCUAAAAUCAUUGUAAAAUAUAUUCGAGUGUGUUAUUGUGACGACCAUAAAAAUUAGUCUCCUAGCACUGUAAGUCUGUAAGUAUUGUGAAAACGCCAGCCUACGUUUCUGUAGCGUUCCGAGGACAUCUGACAAAGCUCACCCGCUGUGAAAAUACUUGUACCGCUGGGAUGUGCCGUAACCGCUGUUGUGAAGUGCAUGUAGUGUCGUCAAUUCUUUGUAUGCCGAGCCCGUGCGGCUUCGUCGUGUCUUCUCUGUCUGUUCCGCUACUCUCAACCGAACACAAGUUAAGCGCAUCUCAGGAAACUGUAUACCCUUGGCGCACGGCGCAUUCUGGGUUGUGCACGGUACACCCUGCUGCGCCUGCACUCGCCUCCUUCGUCCCUUGCCCUCCUUCGACGCGUUUACACCUUCAGUAUUGGUGCUUCCAAGUGCGUAGCUGUAUCCUUGCAAGGUUGCCACAGAAGCUCGUAGAUUCAAGUGUGAUUAAAUAAGAAUGGUCGUGAAUCUCAUAGCGUAUACCGUAAUGCGGUGAAAUGAUCCCAUGCGUGAUUAUAGGCUAGAGAGGGGGAAUGCAGGAAGGGCAACGGGGUUACCUGGACUUUGUCCACAUUGCUACCCUACACGUGGGGAGGGGAUUUAUGGCUCAAAAGAGAAAGGUGGAGAAAGCGUGAUUGCAGACUAUUUGCAAUAGACAAGUAUAGCGCAGCGCAUACCUGUACGGACGAUCACUUAAGCCAGUUACCUUCAAGAACUGCAGAAGGGCUCGUAUGACUUUCUGGGCUGAUGAGCUGUGAGGCCAGGCUAUUUCCUUCAGCAAAAGGCCAAUCUCCAAGUCUGCUUAAAGCACACUGGAGAUUAUGGCGAACUAAGUCAAAUUGAUAAAAGUGACACAACAAGGGAUCUAUGGUCGCUUCAGUUCAGCCUGUUAGUGCACAUGAAUGAAUCAGCCAUUCCAAUGCGACAGCUGCACGAGUAUGUAUCGUUAUAUACCUAUUUUUUUCGCAAGUGCCACUGGAGCAAGAUGGGCACAUUAAAAAGUUUGUACCAUGGGCUCAUUGGUGACUGAACAGUGAAUAACUAACUUCUCUAUUCUCCCAUGUAGUCGUCCUUUAGAAUGGCUCCAUCAAAUUUACAACGCGCCAUAGCUCAAAUUCAAUUGGCCUAUAGAAAGUAACAUUGCUAGCGCAUUUUGGUACAUAGUGGUUUUUAUGAGUACUGCACAAUCACCGCGAAACGUACGGUUGGAGAACUAACAGAAGCACAGUGUUAUGAACUUGGCUGUAGAUGACCUCUUCGUAGGCAUUCACUAGUUCUCUCUGUCAUUGACCUAUAGAAGUAAAGUGAUCUGUAUUGCCGAAGUUGACGGAACCGAAAGAGGGACCGAACAGUAAGCAAUGCCUGAGAACGCAGGACGUACUGAUCUCUAUAUAUAUGGGACUGAAUGACGUGAACGUCAAUGGCUAGAUGCCGAAUUGGGCUCAAAGUAGAUCUAGUUCGUUGAAGUGUGAACGAGUCCACUUGCCGAAACCUUGACCCAACACACAGGGUUUCCUCAUUUGUACACUGUUGGUCACUUCAAGUCUUCGUCUUCCUGUGAUCAUUUUGUUGUGUUUGAGUCUGAUGGUGUGUAAUGUCUGACUGUUUAGUGUUCCAGCAACGUAUACCAUGCUUGUUUGGUCACCGAACGCGAAAGUCUGUAUUUAUGUAUGUGUACACAAAUGAACACGGUUUAUCCCUUAUAUGUUCGAUGUUUUUGGCCUAAUUUUAUCAGCGGGACAAUGUGUGUGCAUUAUAAACAUUAUUAACGCUCAGUGGUGCAUAUAACACGAAGUAUGUGAGCAUCCGAAGAAAGUUCGUCCUUUCGAUGUUGAAUGUGUCUUUCAGACGUAGAAAGGAGUAUGUGUUGUGCGCAUUAUAUAUAUUCUGAGAUUCAGCCUUGUAUAACAUGCUGUGAUGUGUAUUCGCUGGAAAUGUUAUGCCAGUCAGUGAAAAGACUUCUUUUGACUGAAACUUAUAAUACAUAUGCUAGUCUGUACAACACCUCGUUGCUCGCACUCUGUGAGACUCAGUAAAUUGGGGUGCAUAUUUAUGUCGUUUGAUCUGUAUUGCCACAAAAUCGGCAAUGGAGGAAAAUUGCUUGACAAGUGUGAUGAUUCAUAGUUUAGUUUAUCUCUCCAUGUAUUACGGGACAACAUGAGGAGCGCACGGUUAUUCCUUUCGAGGUGCUCGACAAUGUGCUAAUACGUGCCAUUCUGGCCAUCGCCAACCAUGUAUUCUUUCGAAUCUCUUACUUAUUAAUUAAACAUUAAAACUGAUUUAUUUACACUGAA